GUCUAUGGCCAUACCACCAUCAAUGCAGCUGAUCUUGUCUGAUCUCAGAAGCUAAGCAGGGUCGGGCCUGGUUAGUACUUGGAUGGGAGAAAAUAUAGAUAAUACUAAUGUGGAAAAAGGAUAUUAAAAACU
rnacentral:rRNA from 1 species